rnacentral:rRNA from 1 species
GACGAACGCUGGCGGCGUGCUUAACACAUGCAAGUCGAACGGAAAGGCCCUGCUUUUGUGGGGUGCUCGAGUGGCGAACGGGUGAGUAACACGUGAGUAACCUGCCCUUGACUUUGGGAUAACUUCAGGAAACUGGGGCUAAUACCGGAUAGGAGCUCCUGCUGCAUGGUGGGGGUUGGAAAGUUUCGGCGGUUGGGGAUGGACUCGCGGCUUAUCAGCUUGUUGGUGGGGUAGUGGCUUACCAAGGCUUUGACGGGUAGCCGGCCUGAGAGGGUGACCGGCCACAUUGGGACUGAGAUACGGCCCAGACUCCUACGGGAGGCAGCAGUGGGGAAUAUUGCACAAUGGGCGGGAGCCUGAUGCAGCAACGCCGCGUGCGGGAUGACGGCCUUCGGGUUGUAAACCGCUUUCGCCUGUGACGAAGCGUGAGCGACGGUAAUGGGUAAAGAAGCACCGGCUAACUACGUG